CCAAUAUCUUCUGAAUAAUUUACGGGUUAAGGCCAGUUUGGUAAGGCACUCUGUUUGGGUCAGAGAGAUCCUAUGUUCGAUCCAUAGUAACCCGAAAAAAAAUUAUAAAUUUAUAAGAAAUAUAAAUGAUACGAAAUAAAAAUUUAUACAUAAAUCUAUGUAAGUAUAUAAAGAGACUAUUAGGGAAAUUUAGCUAUGUAUUAAAGAGUAUAAAAAAUUUAAACCCGAAUAAUAAGGUUAAUAAACUCUAAGAGAAAUCAAAUAAUAAACGAAGUGAAUUGAAUCAUCUUAUUAGCUUCAGGAAAAGAAAUCAAAAGAGAUUCUAUGAUUAGCGUGAGUAAAAAUAGAAAAGUCUAAAUAAUAAGUAAAAUGGACAUAAAGCUGUUUGAACUUUAUGGGGAACCUUCCUCAAAGACUAAAUAUAAUACAUAAGCGAUAGUAAAACAGUACCGUGAGGGAACAAAAGUAGAAAUAGUAGUUUUAUAAGCAGCUCGAGUUUAAACAAGAGCGUACCUUUUGCAUAAUGGGUCACCAAGUUAAUUUUAGGUGUGAGCAAACGCGUAGUUAAACCGAUCAUAAAAAAAAUGAAUAAUAUCUAAAAUUAGACCCGAAGUACAGUGAUCUUACCAUGGUCAGGACUAUAAAGGUCCGAACGGGUUAUCGUUGCAAAGAUAUCCGAGGAACUGUGGUAAGUAUAGUGAAAGACAAUUCUGACUGUAUUAGCUGGUUUUCUGCGAAACCUAUAACAGUAGGCAAUUUAUGUUAAAUCUUAGCAGGUACAGAACUUAAUCUCAGACAAGAUGUAAAAUAAAAAUACAUUUUAUUUUGUAUACAUCGGGGAAUCAUGAAGAUUUUACCGGUGAGUUUGUGGACUCGGAAUGGCAAAGAUGAAUCUUAAAUUAUCAGACAUAGAAUGAUAAGGUUGUAUGUCAAAAGGGAAACAGCCCAGAACAAGAGUUAAGGUUCCAAAGUUAUUAUUAAGUGAAAUUAAGAAGGUUUUUCUCUAAGUCGACAAGGAGAUUGGCUUAGAAGCAGCCAUAAUUUAAAGAUCUCGUACCAGAGCACUUGUUAAAUGUUAAAAGCAUCGAAAAUUUAACGGAUCUAAAUAAUACACCGAUACCUUGUCUAUAAAUAAUUAUAAUUAUUUAUGGGGUAGCAGAACGUUGAGUAAAUAUUGGUAUUUUUUUAUAUUAAAAAAAGUAUAUUAUAACUCAAGUGAGAAUGGUGACAUGAGUAACUAAAAAGUAUAAUUAGAUUUAUAAUCUAAUUAACUCGCCUAAAGCUUAUGGUGAAUUUAAGUAACGGCCUCUAAGUUUUUAACCUUAAGGUUAAAACGAUGAGAAAAUGCUAAUUGCUAUCAAUGACAACAUUUUUAAGUGAAAAGUGUUCAGGAAAUAAUUAGUAAUAUUUAGACCGUUCCUAGGAACUAUAGAAAGUAAGCUAGUAGAGAAUACGAAGGCGCAUGAGAUAACAAUCUUAAAGGAACUCGGCAAAUUGACUACCGUAACUUAGGGAUAAGGAGGGCUCAUUUAUAUUGAUUAAUAUCAAGUAUAAAGGAAGAAGCAUAAAAUAAUGUUGUACGACUGUUUAAUUAAAACAAAGCACUUUGCAUAACGAUGAGAAAUCUAAGUAUUGAGUGUGAUAUCUGCCCGAUGCCGGAAGGUUAACAAUAGUAACUAAAUUUUUAUAGAUUUGGUUUUUGCAGAAUCCCCGGUGAAUGGCGGUCUUAACGUGAGGAUCCUAAGGUAGCGAAAUGCCUUGGCCGUUAAAUGCGGUCUUGCAUGAAUGAUGUAACGAUACAACAGCUGUCUCUAAGAUUGACUCAGUGAAAUUGGAAUAACUGUGCAGAUACAGUUUACCUCUAGGUAGACGAGAAGACCCUAUGCAGCUUUACUGUUACUAAUUAUUGAAUAUAAUUCUAACAACUUUUAGUAUAGAAGGUUCAUCGAUUAGAUAAAAAUGAAAUACCUUUAUUUGUGUGUUAUAGUAUAAACCUUGAAAAAAGGAACAGUGGUUAGGAGACAGUUUAUGUGGGGCACAGACCCCUUAAAGAGUAAAAGGGUGUAUCUAAAAAUAUAUCUUAUAUUAAUAUAAGUUAAUUUUAUUUUUUAUUGUUUGUAAUUAUUUUAACUUUGUUAUAUUUAAUCAUAUAUUUUGUGUAAAAAAUAUAUUAUUUACAUUAUAAUUAGGUAAGAUUUUCCCUAUUGAGAAAUUAGUUGUAGUAAAAGAUAUUAAUAAAUAAAUAAUAUUUUUUUUAGUUAUUAUAAUUUUAAAUUAUUAAUAAUCAUGUUUAAUACUUACCAAGCUAAAUGGCUUAAUCUUGCUUUACUGUUUGAUUCACAACAAAUCUUACAGUCGCGUAAGCGGGGCAUUAGAUCACAAGAUGCAAUAAGGAAAGAUCUUGGAUUA
rnacentral:rRNA from 1 species